GUCUUCCUUUGACAAUGGCGAUGGUGACGCACCCAUGAGAAGUUGGGAGCCGGUUCUUAUGCCUCUGGACUUCUCCCAGGUUUCUGGGGCCCCUGGAGUCCAAAGAGCCUGUUGGGUUCAAGCUUGGCUGCAGGACCACCCCACAGGACUCCAGUCCCUACAGGAAGCAUCAGCUGGCUUAGAGGCCAGUUGUGAGUGAAACUUUCAAUCCAGGAACAAACAGACCCUCUCUCCCGCAAAGCUGGUUUUUGGUCAGGAACAGUUUGAGAGCAGAGAAAGAGAUGGAUCUCUGGCAGAAAGAAGGCAGCCAGCCACCUGUCCCAAGCCUGCAAUUCCCAGUCUGAGGAAUCUUGCACCCAGAAGGCUAAGGUCUGUGCCUUCUGAACUACAACAUUUCCACCUCCAUUCCUCCUCCACACAUGAAACCUGAGGAAAUUCUCGAAAGGAAUCGAUGAAGAGGAAGCAGAAAUGGAGCCGAC